rnacentral:rRNA from 1 species
AUGGAGUACGUCGUGUGCAACCCGGCCACCGAGGAGUGGACCGUCGUGCCCGCCACCAAGCAGCUGCACCCGAACAAGAAGAACAUUGUCCGCUUGGGUUUUGACCCACUCGUCCCCUCCCGCUUCGCCGUGUUCGUCCUCGUGCGUGGCCACGGGGUCACCAGAGUGGAGAUCUUCUCAUCGGAAACCGGGAGGUGGAUUUCUAAGGAGAGCGAGUGGGGCGACGGCACAAGCGUGGACGAUCACAAUUGUUCAGCCUCUGUCUUCUUCGGUGGGGCGCUGCAUCUGAGUACCCACGAUUCUUCCGUGAUCACGGUGGACACGAAGGGGAAUACUUGGCGGAAAAUCCGAAUGCCGCUCAGCGUAGAGGACACCUCGGAUUACGGUUAUAUCGCGCAGUCUCAGGGACGCCUGUAUGCAAUGCAUAUGGAUUACUGCAAUGGUAAGUGCCAGCUCUCAGUGUGGGUUCUUGAAGAUUAUGCUAGUGGGCAGUGGACUUUGAAGCAUACAGCUGACAUGUCGGGAAUGAUAGGCCACGAUGAGGUGUGCACAUUUGUCGCAGUCAACAUGGAACGCAAAUCGAUCUUUUUCCAAACCAAUGGGUGGAAUGAAAAGCUUGUGUCAUACCAUAUGGAAAACCAGAGAUGUCGUGUUAUCUUCAGUUUUGAGAGGGAUUUCAAUCUCCGAUGUGAACCUUAUAUCCCCAAUUACACGGAA